GCAGAGACUCAAUGGAAGCUGUUCUAACAAAUGGAGUUGCCUCUCAGGCAUUGUGAUAUGUUAUAUGAAUUCUUCCAUAUAAACUUAAAAAGGGAUGAAGAAGAAACCUAUAGGCAUACGUACUUAAUUAUAAAUACUAUUAUUAUAAAUAGAAUAUUGAUGACGACCCGAAUCUUUAUUUUAUGAAUAUGAACAAAUAAAAUAAUUAUUAGGAAUUGAUUUCAUGUUGAAGAAAUAAUAGAAUAUUCGUUUCUUAAAAAAAAGUAUUUACUCCACAGUCUGCUAGAUCUUUUGAGGAACCAACCCGUUGGAUGAGAAUGAAGAUAGAGUCCCAUUCUACGUGUCAAUCUCGACAACAAUGAAAUUUAUAGUAAGAGGAAAAUCCGUCGAUUUUUAAAAUCGUGAGGGUUCAAGUCCCUCUAUCCCCA
rnacentral:tRNA from 1 species